AGUGAACGCUGGCGGUAGGCCUAACACAUGCAAGUCGAACGGCAGCACAGUAAGAGCUUGCUCUUACGGGUGGCGAGUGGCGGACGGGUGAGGAAUACAUCGGAAUCUACUUUUUCGUGGGGGAUAACGUAGGGAAACUUACGCUAAUACCGCAUACGACGUACGGGUGAAAGCAGGGGAUCUUCGGACCUUGCGCGAUUGAAUGAGCCGGUGCCGGAUUAGCUAGUUGGCGGGGUAAAGGCCCACCAAGGCGACGAUCCGUAGCUGGUCUGAGAGGAUGAUCAGCCACACUGGAACUGAGACACGGUCCAGACUCCUACGGGAGGCAGCAGUGGGGAAUAUUGGACAAUGGGCGCAAGCCUGAUCCAGCCAUACCGCGUGGGUGAAGAAGGCCUUCGGGUUGUAAAGCCCUUUUGUUGGGAAAGAAAAGCAGCAGGUUAAUACCCCGCUGUUCUGACGGUACCCAAAGAAUAAGCACCGGCUAACUUCGUG
rnacentral:rRNA from 1 species